rnacentral:lncRNA from 1 species
GGAGUGAGCAGGCAGGUGAGCAAGCAAUGACAGGAGAGCAGCACCCAUGCCUGGCUUUCCUGCUGUGGCCACCCUGGGUGACCUGAGAUGCCUGUGAGACUCUGCAGUCCGCCAAUUAUUGGGCAACAAUGGAGCCCAUCUCUAGCAGGCACUGACCACCUCCCCAUCCAAGUGUCAGUGUCAAAUGGCAAGGCUGAAGGGAAACAAUCCUCCCCACAGGCAGAUGAGCUGGAGCCAGCAGGGGAGCCCACCCACAGCCCUGAGGCAACAGGGCAGGAGCUGCAGCCAGAGUUGUAAUCAAUGGGUGUUCAACUGAAGUGGGAAGAGCUGCAUUUGAAGGAUUCUGCAGACGAUUUUCUUUCUUGUGGUUAUGCUUUUCUGCUGAAUGUUCAAGACCUAGUUAAAGUGAGACCUGUAUUACUUAAAAU